rnacentral:rRNA from 1 species
UAUUAAAAUUUUUAUUUAUUUAAAGUUUAAUUAUAAAAUUUUAUCUUUUUUUAGUAUAUUAAAUAAUUAAUUAUUUUUUUAAAACUGACCAGGAAAAUAUUUAAAAUAUUAUUAAAAAAUUUUUAGUACCUUUUGUAUCAGGGUUAAUUUAUUAAUUAGUUUAUACUUUUUUCCCGAAUUGAAAAAAUUUAAAUUUAAUUUAGUUUAUUUGUUAUAAAACAUUUCUUAAUUUAUUUUUUGUAAUUAAAAGUUAUUCGUUUUUUAAAUAUAUCUGGUUUUCUAAGAUAAAAUUGAAUUUUAGAUUUAUUAAAAUAAUUCUUAUUUCUUUGGGGAUAAGCUCAAAUAAUUAAUAAAAUUUAAUUAAUUAAAUUUUUAUAAGUUUUAAAAUUUUUCAUAAAGUUCUUAAUAGAUUUAAAUUUUUUUUUUUUAUUUAGUUUUAUUUAUUUUUUUAUUAGAAUUUUUUAAAUAAUUAAUUUUUAUUAAAAAUAAUGAUUAAAUUAGUAUAAUUUAUAAUUAAUUAUUUAUGAAUUCAACAAAUAUUAUUUUCAACUGUUUAACAAAAACAUUUCUUUUAGAUUAAAAUUAAAAGUAUUUUCUGCCCAAUGAUUAGUAUUUAAAUGGCUGCAGUAAUUUGACUGUGCAAAGGUAGCAUAAUAAUUAGUCUUUUAAUUGUGGACUGGAAUGAAAGGAUAGAUGAAAAAUAGUUUUUAUUAUUUUUAAUAUUAAAAUUUUAUUUUUAAGUAAAAAAGCUUAUUUAUUUUUUUGGGACGAAAAGACCCUAUAGAAUUUUAAUAUUUUCUAUUAUUUAUUUUUUUGAAGUUCUUUUUUAAGUAAUUACAAAAUUUUUUGGUUGGGGGGAUAGAUAAAAAUUUAAACUUUAUUUUUUUUAUUCAUUUAAUAGUUGAUAAUUUUGAUCCAAUAAUUUUGAUUAAAAGAAAAAAUUACCUUAGGGAUAACAGCGUAAUUAUAGUGGGGAGAUCAUAUUUAUAUUAUAGUUUGCGACCUCGAUGUUGAAUUAAGAAAAGUUUAAGGGGUAGUUUCUUUAUAUACUAAGUCUGUUCGACUUUUAAAUUCUUACAUGAUUUGAGUUCAGAUCGGUGUGAGCCAGAUCGGUUUCUAUCUAAAAAUUAUUAUUUUAUUUUAGUACGAAAGGACCAGAUAAAACUAAUUUUAUUUUAGUAGUAAAAUUUUAUUAA